rnacentral:rRNA from 1 species
UGGGGAAUAUUGGACAAUGGGCGAAAGCCUGAUCCAGCCAUGCCGCGUGUGUGAAGAAGGUCUUCGGAUUGUAAAGCACUUUACGUUGGGAGGAAGGGCAGUAAGCGAAUACCUUGCUGUUUUGACGUUACCGACAGAAUAAGCACCGGCUAACUCUGUGCCAGCAGCCGCGGUAAUACAGAGGGUGCAAGCGUUAAUCGGAAUUACUGGGCGUAAAGCGCGCGUAGGUGGUUCGUUAAGUUGAAUGUGAAAGCCCCGGGCUCAACCUGGGAACUGCAUCCAAAACUGGCGAGCUAGAGUAGGGCAGAGGAUGGUGGAAUUUCCUGUGUAGCGGUGAAAUGCGUAGAUAUAGGAAGGAACACCAGUGGCGAAGGCGACCACCUGGGCUCAUACUGACACUGAGGUGCGAAAGCGUGGGGAGCAAACAGG